AGCCAUCCGGGCACUAGGCAGCCUCAGUGGCAUGCCACCUCCGUGCGGUCCUCCUCUCAGGCGUGGUGCCUUCUUUGCCUGGGAUAGCAAGUAGAGGGGCGAGCAGGACCCCGCAGGCCGGGGACCUUCAGGCACCAGAAGACCCGGGACACACGCGGCCCGCCCGGUGGCGCGCGCUUCUCCCCCUCCCCCGCGGUCGGGAGCGAGCCGCCGUGACGUCACGGGCCACCCGCCAGCCCCGCGCUCCACCGGGCAGAGCGCGUGCAGCCGCCGAGCACAUGGACCCGCUGGUCGAGCAGGCUCCGCAAGGCCGAGAUGAAGAGGAACUGCGGACCAGGAUGCGAAACAGGACCCCCGAAGCCCCCGGAGUGGAUAUUCACGCGGAAAGGAUGUUGGCAGUCCUGGCGACCUGGGAGUCAUGGCUGAAUUCACCCUCCCGCCUGACCUUCACAUGACUAUGGUACGAAGAUGCCCUCCAGCAGGCUGUGCUUGCGGACCACAUGGAGCCUCACUUGGGGACUUUCCCAACCCUGUGGAUUUACAGGAAGAUGCAGUUGCCUGGGGAGUAAUGCUGGUGGAUGCAGCUUCCGGAAUAACACACCUGGCUUGCCUUGGGAUGCUACAAGUGGCCUAACAGAUUCUUUGAGCCUGGAUGCCCACUGGGGACAAGGACCAUAGCUGAGAAGACUGUAUCUCUACCCUUGACUCCAUGAGACUAUUGGCUCUGAUCUCUCGGGCAUCCUGGCACUCCCUCUAAAAUAGAGCUGAGUUCCGUCACUAUGGACGUUGGCAGUGGCAUUUUCAUUCCUGUGGUAAGCAGUCAGCCCUGAGGUAGAAGAAUUACCUAUGAGAUCUGGCUCAUAAACAGCACAGGACCUUUUUUGGGGAGAGCAAAUACAUUCCAAUAUUAUGCCUGUGCUCAGGAACUUCUCGGUAUACCUGUUAAGCAUUCCAGAAGGAUUUGAGAAUCAUCAAAUAAAGCUGGAGUAUUUGGCGAUUUGGAAAAUUGAGUUUCUCCUUUAGAUUCCUGCCUUGGCUUCCCUUGGUGAUGGACUGUAACCCAGAAGAUGAAAUAAAUCGUUUCCUCCUAGAAGUUGCUUUCAGUCAUGUUUUAUUACAGCAACAGAUGACAAACAAGAGUACCAUUUUAAGAGCAUUGAAUGCCUGGAUAGCAGUUUGCCCUUUUUGGAUGAAACAGCUACUCUGGAGGUUCAUAUCCAAGUUUUCUCAUGGACUUACAUUUAUCACAGUAUAUACAUACCUGGGAGUACAGUUGCUGGGCCACAGGAUGAGAAGCAUCUACUUAGAGAUGCCAAGUAACUCAGCAGAAGUCACACAGCUGCUAAAUAGUCAAGACGGAAGUCUUCAGGCUGGAGGCAAUUCUAUAAGACAGUUGAGCCCUCCAGAGCUAGUGGGAGACUGAUGGACUUACACAGGCGAUAGAUCCAGCCAUGACAUUGUCUUGAAGAGAAUGAUACAUUCUUUCCAGAAGACAUAGAAGAUUCCUGAAACUAGGAAGUGUGCCUGGAAAUGUGGAGAAGAGAGAAGAGAGCGCUCUCCCUCCCCUGCCUGGGCAUCUCCCACUAUACACAAUACUUUCAACCGGGGUCACGACUGAGCUCUCCUCUUUCAAUCUAGGUUUGAUGGAAUAUUAGUCUGGAAACGUUACUUUCAAUUAAACUCACUCGUUGAACCGCCUUUAUCUUCAAAGGAUUCCAUUAGGACAGUUAAUUAUAGCUAUUGCUACAAAGCAUUAUUUGCACUCAUUUUCAGCUUUUAAGCAAUUCAGUUCAAAUGUUUUAUAUUUUACUCUUUGGAAGUAUAUGUAACCAUCAUCCUCUUACACUACAGGCUUCCCAUGAGAUAUUUUUAGAAAUCCGAAUCAAAACAGCAAUUUUGGUGGUGACCAUAUCUGGUCUAACCUUAAGUGCUGAUAAAAACAGCCAAAGACACAGUGCUGUAUAGAGCAAGAAAGACACCCCCUUGUUUUUGGGGGGUCAAGUGUUUGGAAACUUCAAGCUGUCCUUUAUAUUAUGGUAUUUCUUUGCAAACUAAUUAAAACCAAUGACAAUGGGAAUUCCUCCCAAUUUGCAGAGAUUUGUCCUUCUGCUAACUGUUGGCCAUAAUUACUGCGCUUAAGAUGGCUGCUAUGCAAGAGUUUAGUGGGAACCCUGUUUUGAUAUCUGCAUUUCCCAUGAAAUGGAAAUUACUUUCUAUUUAUUAUUUGUGUAUAUAUGAGUGUGUGUGUACUGCAUACAGACAGAAAAAAAAUCACUUGUCUUCAGUCUAGGGCAUUGUUCCCCAAGUAUUCCAUAAAAAUGGAUGGUGAAUGACUGACCUAGGAUAUUUCCUCUCCCUGGACCAUAUAUUUUCCUCUGCACAGUGGGCUCAGGGGGCCUUUCGAAUGUAUUAGGCAGAAUAAUAGAACUUCCAUAGUGCCACUGAGAUUCAUACACAGAAUAUACCGGUAGCUGUCCCUCCAUUAUGUGUUGAAAUGGGGAAAGGCCCCCAGCCCAGCACUUAGCUGAGACAGCACCACAAACAGUCCACUAUAAGCCCAAAUUUGCCUCUAGAUUGUACUCUUCUUUCUAAAUACUUUGUCAUCAUUUAUAAAGAAUUUUUGGUUUUGCUUUGGUCAAAUAUUAUAUAUUGCAUUCUGAUUACUCUCAUCUCCACCAUAUUCUAUAUGCCCAUACCCUUGUCAACCUCCUUCCUUCCUGUAACUCCUUUCUCACAUUCUUGUCUUUUUGUUUUGUUUUGUGACUCAUUCUGUUUAGCCAGGUUUGUCUGUGUGGCCACAAGUUUCCCACUAUCCACUGGAGCCUAAUGGAACCACUUGUGGGUACAUGACUGAAGACAAUGUCUGCCCUUCUCCUGGAAUCUACCAGCAUCUAAUUGUUGAGCAGGAUAGGAUAUGGUCCUUUGAGUCUCUCACCUGUCCACGAUUGAUUGAUACUAGACCCGGUUUUAUGAUAGGGUAGACAACCACAACUGCUAUGCAAUAAUGACUGCAAUGGCUUUGUCAUGUCCAAACAAUAGAAUUAACAGCCCUUAUUCCCGGCCAAUAGCAUUCACAGCCCAGUUCCUUAUUGUCUAGCUCUUACAUUCUUUCCACUUCUUCUGUGAGAUUCCUUGAGCUUUGCAGGGUGAUGCUAUUUCUCUCCUGAACACUCAACCAUCAUGUAUUGUCAUCAGCCUCGGAACCCAAGAAUCUCUGUAUUUAUCACAGUUCAUUGUAAAGAGAAGCUUCUCUGAUUAAGGCCCGGCAUUAACAUUUGUCUAUUAUACAAAUACAAAAUCUAAAUACAGAUCUUUCUAAGUACAAAUAUUUGGAAAGCAGCUUGACUCCAUAUUGAACAACUGUAGUAAGGUUCCCUAUGUAGCCUAAGACCCAAGCCAAACAUUUUUGACUGAGUUUAUAGUAUCAAAUAUGGACCUUCUAUGAAGCAGGUCUCAAAUCAAGUAAGGGAGUAGUUGGUUACCGCUGUAACAGUCAUGCCACUAUUUCACUAGUGGGCGCAUCUUACCUGGCAGAUUGAUAUUGUCGUUCAUAGGGUUCACAGAUGGAUAAAAAUGUUCAUAUGUCGUCCCCCCCCCCAGUAGCUUGCCUAGCACCUUUCAAUACUAUCCAGCAGAAAGAAAGUUUCUACUUCACUUCCAGCUUGGUUUAUCUUUAUCUCUUAACUGGGGUGUGUGGUGUCUUUCAACAGUGGUGUUAUUAACUAGUCUGGUUAGCAACCAAUGGCAACGGCAAGAGCUUCCUUAAGAACACAUAGUGACAGAACCCACAUAUGGCAUUGGGUUGUUCAUUUAGCAACCCAUUGCUUUUAGAAAAGCAUUAUCCAGACACGUAUGAUAUAUUUUUUAAAACCAUAUUUUCAGUUGAGUUACAAAGUGGUAGGUUUCCAUACGGUCUUUGUACAUACUUGUCUCGGUUAAUUCUUACCUCUCCUGCCCUUUCGUUCCUUUGUGCCCCAACCCUAUCUCUGCUUGAACCUUUCUAUCCUCUCUAGUCCCCAUUUCUACUUGCCUGCCACCUAUGCUCCUCUAGUCUCCCUCCUUUAAGUCAUGCUCCACCCUGACGGCCCCUUCCAGUUUUCUGGCUUCUGUAGUUACUCCAGGUUAAACCCACAAAUGUAACGAUUCAAAGACAGGACCCAUAUAUGAAAGAGAACAUGUACCUGGUAUGGUGAAGGGGAACAUAGCUAGUAAAAUGCAAAAAAGUUGAAAACCACACCCACUGGGAAUAUUUCACCUGGUGUUUCAAGUCUCUCUCCACCUGCUGAUAGGUCAUUUCAUGUGUCUAUGACAAGACUUGAGAGACCAGCAAAGCUCAGGAAGUCUUGUUUCACAAGAGAAUCCUCAGGUUCUAGGCCCUUGUGACUCAUGUCAAGCCUCUCAGGGAGCCACAAGAAUGGCCCAGAGGAAGUUCUAAACCACUAUGAUUCAUGGGUAGGCUUUUCUCUUCUGAGACCUGAGCUAUCAUAGGGUGUUCCCCAACUAUGUAGCUCAGGACCACAGGGUCACCAGCUCUUCUUCUUAUGCCUGAGGUGUGUUUGCCUUACCAUGUGGCAGGAAAACUCUGGCCCUUAGUUUGUAGACGAUGUGGUUGCAUGGGAGAGGUCACAAUGAAUAGGUGUGAAAGAGGCAUAGGAGCUAUAAUCCGGCAGUAUCUGAGGGUGUUGUGUGCCUCCACUCCUGAACACCCCUUUGCUUGUGUGUUCCAUGGGUUGAGCAGAUUUCUACUGGAGUAAGUUCAGGCUCUACCAUAUAUUUCUCUUUAUGGAGAUGCUAAGAACACACAGUUAAUCCUCUUCCCUUCUUCUCUUCCUGCCAGCUAGGUCAACUGGUGAAAUGAUGCUGUGCAAUAGACACUUUACCCAUUCUUUUCCCUUUUCAUGGAAAAGGUAUAAUUUUUCUGGGUAUGAUAGUGCACACCUGUCAUUCCAGUACUUGGGAAGCUGAGGCAGGAAGACCAAGAAUUCCAGACAAGCCUGGGUUAUAGUGCAAAACUCUGUCUUAAAACAACAAAAACAUAAUUGUAGAGGUUCGGAAUUCUAAAUGAAUAUCAAGGUGACACACCCACAUAAUGGGAGCAAAGGGAAUGGAGAAGAUUUCAUUGACAAAGUGUACCUGGCCAAUUGAUGAUAUGAAUUAGUAAGUAAAUUGUGGGGUUCUUGCUGUGGUUAAUAGCUGUCUUUCUUGACUACAUGUGUUGGAAUCUCUUGUAGAUCAAUGCAGAUCAAUCCAAGUUUCUCACCCCAUAUUUCAUGUUCUCAGCCUUUCCAGCACAUAUAUUCAGAACUGGUAAACUUUCAAAAGUGACUCAACCUGCCCUACAAUUCAUAGAUCCUUGGUUGGAAAAGCUCGAUGUAGGGAAAAUUCAAACAUAAAUCCCUUGGCCUCUUUAAUUCAGCUUACAGAAACCUUCUGGGGGUUUCCCUGAGGAGCAAGGCUCAGGGUCCACACACUCCCUGGAGCCCUGGCUUGAGUUCUGAUUACAGCAGCUGUUCCAUUCCCCUUCUGUGAUUAGCAUACCUCUCCAUCAAAAAUGCACUGACUGUGAAGAUCUUAGUUUCUGGAUAAACUACACUGGAAGGCCUUAAAGGCAGCGAUUUAAUUUUCUCCCAUGUAUUUCCCUACUUCAGGUCCCCUGAAAGGAAUUAAGAAGUAGAGGUUUGCAGGUUAAGUGAGCCAGUUAAGUACAUUAUUAAUCUCUCCCCCUCAGUGUAUGUCCAUUUCCUAUUGACCUUAGCAUGCUGGAGGCACAUCUGGUGACAUUUCUGUGUCCUCAACUAACAUCUGAACUUCAAGGUGUGUUCAUUUUGGUUUCACAUAAGCAGUCCUUUGCCAUCUAGCUUCCAGCACUGACUAAGUCCCGCCCCCCCCCCCCCCCCACUUUUUUAAACUUGGAAAAGUAUGAAAAAAAUUGACUGCCUACCCCUACUUCUUAAAAAAUGAGGUGGGCCACCCCCCUAAACCAUCAACACCUGAGGCACGUGGGUGAGCUGGUGCAGAUGCCAUAAGCAUGGGAGAGCUGCUUUUGUUCCACACCAGCUGCAACACUCAGGAGAGCAGGCCCUGCACCUUGCCUGGGCAGCACAAUAGAGCCAAUCCUAUUGUCUGAGGUGUGGUUGGGCCAUCCCUGAAGUUGUGAGCAUGAGAGAGCUGUCCCCAUUACUCACCUGUACUUGGCAACAUGGAUAGGGGUGAGAUGCCCCCCCCAGCCCCCAAUCAAUACCUGAAGCAGGUGGGAGAGCAGGCUCUGAAGUCAUCAGAGCAGGAGAGCUGUUCCUGCCCCUCAUCAGCUGCAGCACUCAGGAGAAUGGCCCCUACACCUCGCCUGGGCAACACAGUAGAGCUGGCCCUGAAGAUGUAGGUAUGGGAGAACUAACCCUGAGGACAUGAAAGCAGAACUGGCCCUGCCCUUGUUUGUUGCUGCAAGGGAUGAACUUAGCCAGGGCAAUGCUGAAGAGCUCACCCUGGUGGUGAAGACAGUGGAGAGCUGGUGGGCUGACCAACCCUGCAAGUACCCAGGCUUAGAACCAGGGUUAAGUGUUAGCCCACCCCAACAUGCAUCCAUCUAUGAUCUGCUGGAGCAAGGUGGGUGGAGUGGGGAUGUUAGUCCUGUGGACCCAGGGCUACAGGAUCUCCAUCACACAGGGUGGCAAUGGGAUAUUCAGUAAGAGUCCCAGUGAGGACCCAAUGUCAAGGGUGUAGCAGAGACCAGGGGCCUCAAUCCAGACCAAGGAUUCUUUGUGAUGAACCCCUGCAUGUAAAAAUAUGUGGAUAAAGGGGUUUACUGCCUGACUCACUGUGUCACACUACAGCUUCCAUAAUGAGGUUGAUUUUUCCUUUUUUUUUUUUUUCUUAAAUUUUACUAUAUUUUAUUUGGGUGGGGUGGUGGAUUGCAAGAGCAGAAGGCAGAUACGAAGGGACAAGGAAAUGAAUGGGAUGCAUGAUGUGAAAGACACAGAAUACAUUUUUUUGAAAUGUUGAAAAAAAUGGAGGUGGGAGUUGCUAUUCUUCUACUCUCCAGCUUCCGAUCUUUUCUCCCUUUGUUCUACGUAUUCCACACCUCCAGAGCACAUUCACAUAUUUGAGCAAGUAUAUUGGAAAUAUAAGGAACCAAAAAGCAUGCUUUCUAUAAUCUCCCAGUCCUUUUUAAUAUAAGAGCAACUGUUCUAUAUAACUCAUAUCUGUUAUUCUGUAGCCCCUCGACACCCACAUAGUUGUCAUGACAAGGCACCUUCCCUUUUUCCAUCCACAGUUUUCUGCCAGCCAUACCUGUGUUAGUCCCUAACUUUUCAGUUACAUGUUGAAAUUUCCUUUUAUCUAAAUCAUAGUUCACAAAAAAACUGGAACUUCCUUUUUCCUUCCUGUAUUUAAAUCUUUCCUUCUAGCAUGUUCUGUGUCCAAAAACGAUGACAGAAGUAGAACCACUAUAUUAAAGGAUAUAGAUAUUGUCAAA